rnacentral:rRNA from 1 species
UGAGUAGGCGGUUACAUAUGUCAGAUGUAAAAGGCACAGGCUUAACUUGUGUUAGCAUUUGAAACUGUGUGGCUUGAGUGCAGGAGAGGUAAGUGGAAUUCCUAGUGUAGCGGUGAAAUGCGUAGAUAUUAGGAGGAACACCAGUGGCGAAGGCGACUUACUGGACUGUAACUGACGCUGAGUCACGAAAGCGUGGGUAGCAAACA